GAUGAACGCUGGCGGCGUGCCUAAUACAUGCCAGUCGAGCGAACGGAUGAGGAGCUUGCUCCUCUGACGUUAGCGGCGGACGGGUGAGUAACACGUGGAUAACCUACCUAUAAGACUGGGAUAACUUCGGGAAACCGGAGCUAAUACCGGAUAAUAUAUUGAACCGCAUGGUUCAAUAGUGAAAGACGGUUUUGCUGUCACUUAUAGAUGGAUCCGCGCCGCAUUAGCUAGUUGGUAAGGUAACGGCUUACCAAGGCAACGAUGCGUAGCCGACCUGAGAGGGUGAUCGGCCACACUGGAACUGAGACACGGUCCAGACUCCUACGGGAGGCAGCAGUAGGGAAUCUUCCGCAAUGGGCGAAAGCCUGACGGAGCAACGCCGCGUGAGUGAUGAAGGUCUUCGGAUCGUAAAACUCUGUUAUUAGGGAAGAACAAAUGUGUAAGUAACUAUGCACGUCUUGACGGUACCUAAUCAGAAAGCCACGGCUAACUACGUG
rnacentral:rRNA from 1 species